rnacentral:rRNA from 1 species
CCUACGGGAGGCAGCAGUGGGGAAUUUUGGACAAUGGGCGCAAGCCUGAUCCAGCAAUGCCGCGUGCAGGAUGAAGGCCUUCGGGUUGUAAACUGCUUUUGUACGGAACGAAACGGUCUGCUCUAAUACAGUGGGCUAAUGACGGUACCGUAAGAAUAAGCACCGGCUAACUACGUGCCAGCAGCCGCGGUAAUACGUAGGGUGCGAGCGUUAAUCGGAAUUACUGGGCGUAAAGCGUGCGCAGGCGGUUAUAUAAGACAGAUGUGAAAUCCCCGGGCUCAACCUGGGACCUGCAUUUGUGACUGUAUAGCUAGAGUGCGGCAGAGGGGGAUGGAAUUCCGCGUGUAGCAGUGAAAUGCGUAGAUAUGCGGAGGAACACCGAUGGCGAAGGCAAUCCCCUGGGCCUGCACUGACGCUCAUGCACGAAAGCGUGGGGAGCAAACAGGAUUAGAUACCCUGGUAGUCCACGCCCUAAACGAUGUCAACUGGUUGUUGGGUCUUCACUGACUCAGUAACGAAGCUAACGCGUGAAGUUGACCGCCUGGGGAGUCGGCCGCAAGGUUGAAACUCAAAGGAUUGACGGCUGAGAGNGCGAGGACGACGACGAGGGAGGAGG